GAUGAAGAACGUAGCGAAAUGCGACAACUAAUGUGAAUUGCAGAAUUCAGUGAAUCAUCGAGUCUUUGAACGCACAUUGCGCCCUCUGGUAUUCCGGAGGGCAUGCCUGUCCGAGCGUCAUUGCUGCCCUCAAGCCCGGCUUGUGUGCUGGGCCCCGUCCCCCCCGCCGGGGGGACGGGCCCGAAAGGCAGCGGCGGCACCGCGUCCGGUCCUCGAGCGUAUGGGGCUUCGUCACCCGCUCUAGUAGGCCCGGCCGGCGCCAGCCGACCCCAACCUUUAAUUAUCUCAGGUUGACCUCGGAUCAGGUAGGGAUACCCGCUGAACUUAAGCAUAUCAAUAAGCGGAGGA
rnacentral:misc_RNA from 1 species